rnacentral:rRNA from 1 species
GAUGAACGCUGGCGGCGUGCCUAAUACAUGCAAGUCGAGCGAAGCGGGGACGGGUGAGUAACACGUGGAUAACCUCCUAUAAGACUGGGAUAACUUCGGGAAACCGGAGCUAACCCGGAUACUCAUAGCUGGUUCCGCGCUGCAUUAGCUAGUUGGUAAGGUAACGGCUUACCAAGGCAACGAUGCAUAGACGACCUGAGAGGGUGAGCGGCCACACUGGGACUGAGACACGGUCCAGACUCCGACGGGAGGCAGCAGUAGGGAAUCUGCCGCUAUGGGCGAAAGCCUGACGGAGCAACGCCGCGUGAGUGAAGAAGGUCUUCGGAUCGUAAAACUCUGUUAUUAGAGAAGCGGUACCUAAUCAGAAAGCCACGGCUAACUACGUGCCAGCCGCCGCGGUAAUUC